rnacentral:misc_RNA from 1 species
AAGUCGUAACAAGGUUUCCGUAGGUGAACCUGCGGAAGGAUCAUUAACAAGUCUGGCGGGCGUUUGCUCUCUGCCACAUUAGUGCUGCGCGCCUGGCGCGUAGAAUACACAUUCCUUUUGACUGAUGCUUGCAAGAACAGAAACAACUUUUAACAAUGGAUCUCUAGGCUCUU